rnacentral:pre_miRNA from 1 species
GCACUAAGGGCCUGAUCCAAAGCCAACCAAUGUCAAUGGGAGUUUUCCAUUGACUUCAACGAGCUUUGGAUCAGGCCUUAAUUGA